rnacentral:piRNA from 1 species
GCAUUCAGAACGGUCCUACAGUAGUA